rnacentral:rRNA from 4 species
CCUGGUGAAAUUAGCGCUAUGGAACCACCCGAUCCCAUCCCGAACUCGGAAGUGAAACGUAGCUGCGCCGAUGGUAGUGUGGCCUAAGCCAU